ACUCACAAGAGGUCCUACCAUCAGUAA
rnacentral:sRNA from 1 species